GUGCCUGCUUCCACUGCACAUAUACUAAAAUUGGAACCUUAUAGGGAAGAUUAACAUGGCCCCUGCCAAGGACAACAAGCAAAAUUGCGAAGCGUUCCCUAUUUUU
ensembl:snRNA U6 U6 spliceosomal RNA